rnacentral:rRNA from 1 species
GUGGGGAAUCUUCCGCAAUGGACGAAAGUCUGACGGAGCAACGCCGCGUGAGUGAAGAAGGUUUUCGGAUCGUAUAGCUCUUUCGUUAGGGACGAACGUGCUCUUAGUGAAUAAUGAGGAGUAAUGACGGUACCUAAAUAAGAAGCCACGGCUAACUACGUGCCAGCAGCCGCGGUAAUACGUAGGUGGCAAGCGUUGUCCGGAAUUAUUGGGCGUAAAGCGCGCGCAGGCGGGAUAUCAAGUCUGUCUUAAAAGUGCGAGGCUCAACCUCGUGAGGGGACAGAAACUGGUAUUCUUGAGUGUCGGAGAGGAAAGUGGAAUUCCAAGUGUAGCGGUGAAAUGCGUAGAGAUUUGGAAGAACACCAGUGGCGAAGGCGACUUUCUGGACGAUGUCUGACGCUGAGGCGCGAAAGCUAGGGGAGCGAACGGGAUUAGAUACCCGGGUAGUCC